GACAACGUAAGGCAUUGUUUACAUACCGAACAUUUUAAAACUAUAAAGAAUUUAUUUACAUUUCUUUUUUAAAUAACAUAUCUAGUAUAAUCUCACAAGUGGGGGUUCGGAGAGGAUAGCAUGUACGCAAACCUUGUAGAAACGUGAAGAAGCAUUUUUACCUGAACCUAGCAACAAUAACUCCUCUGAUAGACCCAACAAAUGCGUACAAUAUCACAACCAGACAUACCAUUGUAAAGA
rnacentral:misc_RNA from 1 species